GUUUGUUUAUCGGUAACCUUUGUUGUGGGGUAGGACCGUUGGUCUUGGCUAUGCCCUUAAGUAUGGUCCUGAUAGGGUAUGAUGUGAGAAAACUCAAGUUGUUUGAAAAUGUGGAGUACAUAUGGUGUUGGAUGCCUGUGGGAUAACUUUAACUUGAAGUGGCAAAAAGUGUCGAAAGCCACUAGGGAUGUUAUGUCAUACAAGCUAUCCAGG